rnacentral:rRNA from 1 species
CCUACGGGAGGCAGCAGUGGGGAAUAUUGCACAAUGGGGGCAACCCUGAUCCAGCCAUGCCGCGUGUGUGAAGAAGGCCCUCGGGUUGUAAAGCACUUUCAGUGAGGAAGAACGCCUGGUGGUUAAUACCCAUCAGGAAAGACAUCACUCACAGAAGAAGCACCGGCUAACUCCGUGCCAGCAGCCGCGGUAAUACGGAGGGUGCGAGCGUUAAUCGGAAUUACUGGGCGUAAAGCGCGCGUAGGUGGCUUGAUAAGCCGGUUGUGAAAGCCCCGGGCUCAACCUGGGAACGGCAUCCGGAACUGUCAAGCUAGAGUGCAGGAGAGGAAGGUAGAAUUCCCGGUGUAGCGGUGAAAUGCGUAGAGAUCGGGAGGAAUACCAGUGGCGAAGGCGGCCUUCUGGACUGACACUGACACUGAGGUGCGAAAGCGUGGGUAGCAAACAGGAUUAGAUACCCUGGUAGUC